AGACGCUCUAUGAGCUAAGAUCAAGUGUAGUAUCUGUUCUUAUCAGUUUAAUAUCGGAUAUGUCCUAAAAAUAAAAAACAGCUGAAGACAUCCUCA
rnacentral:snRNA from 1 species